UCCAAAUGCUUCCAUUUUUCAAAAGCCAAAAUAAAAACGUCCGUCAGAAACAACUCCAAACCAGCCCUGUGCCUCACUGUGAUCUGUUUCUCCCAGGACUGGACCUCGGAGAGGUGUGCCUAUUCACAGCCCUUUUCUUCCUGGCUCUGCUGCUAGCGAUUUACCUUCUGGGGAAGAUGGUUGCGCCUAAACAGAGAUGUCAAAGGAUAAGCAGCAGCUGCCUGGCCACGGAAGAGCAGUGACUCUGAAGAGCCUGCAGGAGACGCUUCCAAGACAGAGAGAAUUGACUAAGGCCUCAGAAUCAGUAUCCAGAGCCGGGGGUACC